UACGAAGGGUGCAAGCGUUACUCGGAAUUACUGGGCGUAAAGCGUGCGUAGGUGGUUUGUUAAGUCUGAUGUGAAAGCCCUGGGCUCAACCUGGGAAUUGCAUUGGAUACUGGCAGGCUAGAGUGCGGUAGAGGAUGGCGGAAUUCCCGGUGUAGCAGUGAAAUGCGUAGAGAUCGGGAGGAACAUCUGUGGCGAAGGCGGCCAUCUGGACCAGCACUGACACUGAGACACGAAGGCCAGGGGAGCAAACGGG
rnacentral:rRNA from 1 species